AGAGUUUGAUCCUGGCUCAGAAUGAACGCUGGCGGCGUGCCUCAGUCAUGCAAGUCGUACGAGAAAGCACUUUCGGGUGUGAGUAAAGUGGCGCACGGGUGUAGAGCACCUAGGUAACGUACCCUUUCGCUGGGGAUAACGGGGGGAAACUCCCGCUAAUACCGAAUACUCCGAGGAGGAUUGCGGUUCUCUUCGGGAAAGCCGUAAGGCGCGAAAGGAGCGGCUUGGGUCCUAUUAGCUAGUUGGUGAGGUAAUGGCUCACCAAGGCUGUGAUGGGUAGCUGGUCUAAGAGGAUGAUCAGCCACACUGGUACUGGAACACGGACCAGACUCCUACGGGAGGCAGCAGUUAGGAAUAUUGCGCAAUGGGCGAAAGCCUGACGCAGCGACGCCGCGUGGGUGAGGAAGGCCUUCGGGUUGUAAAGCCCUUUUAGCAGGGACGAAUAAAUGACGGUACCUGCAGAAAAAGCACCUGCUAACUCUGUGCCAGCAGCAGCGGUAAUACAGAGGGUGCGAGCGUUAUUCGGAAUUAUUGGGCGUAAAGCGCAUGUAGGUGGUUUGGUAAGUCCGAUGUGAAAGCCCCCGACUCAAUCGGGGAAGUGCGUUGGAUACUGCCUGACUUGAGUGCANGAGGGGAGAGCGGAAUUCCCGGUGUAGAGGUGAAAUUCGUAGAUAUCGGGAGGAACCACAGUGGCGAAGGCGGCUCUCUGGACUGGUACUGUCUGACGCUGAGAUGCGAAAGCGUGGGAGCCAACAGGAUUAGAUACCCUGGUAGUCCACGCCGUAAACGAUGGAUACUAGAUGCUGGAGGAUCUUACCCUUUCAGUGUCGCCGCUAACGCAUUAAGUAUCCCGCCUGGGUAGUACGCCGCAAGGUUAAAACCCAAAGAAAUUGACGGGGGCCCGCACAAGCGGUGGAGUAUGUGGUUCAAUUCGAAGCAACGCGAAAAACCUUACCUGGGUUUGACAUCCCGCGCAUAGCCAUGAAAGUGGUGAAAUCCCUUCGGGGACGCGGUGACAGGUGCUGCAUGGCUGUCGUCAGCUCGUGUCGUGAGAUGUUGGGUUAAGUCCCGCAACGAGCGCAACCCCUGCCAUUAGUUGCCAGCAUUCAGUUGGGCACUCUAAUGGGACCGCUUGCCGAUAAGGCAGAGGAAGGUGGGGAUGACGUCAAGUCCGCAUGGCCCUUACAUCCAGGGCAACACACGUACUACAAUGGCCGGCACAAAGCGCCGCGACGCCGUGAGGCGGAGCUAAUCGCAAAAAACCGGUCUCAGUUCGGAUUGGAGUCUGCAACUCGACUCCAUGAAGUUGGAAUCGCUAGUAAUCGCGGAUCAGCAUGCCGCGGUGAAUACGUUCCCGGGCCUUGUACACACCGCCCGUCAAGCCAUGGGAGCUGGUAUUGCCUGAAGAGGCUGAGCUAACCGCAAGGAGGCAGGUCUUAAUGGUGAUGCCGGUGACUGGGGUUAAGUCGUAACAAGGUAGCCG
rnacentral:rRNA from 1 species